GAUGAACGCUGGCGGCGUGCCUAACACAUGCAAGUCGAACGGAGAUAUUGCUUGGAAGCUUUUCGAGGUGAAAGAGAAGUAUCUUAGUGGCGGACGGGUGAGUAACGCGUGGGCAACCUGCCUCAUACAGGGGGAUAGCAUCGGGAAACUGGUGGUAAAACCGCAUAAGCGCACGAAGACGCAUGUUUUUGUGUGAAAAGGAGAAAUCUGGUAUGAGAUGGACCCGCGUCUGAUUAGCUAGUUGGAGUGGUAAAAGCACACCAAGGCAACGAUCAGUAGCCGGCCUGAGAGGGUGGACGGCCACAUUGGGACUGAGACACGGCCCAG
rnacentral:rRNA from 1 species